rnacentral:rRNA from 1 species
CCUACGGGAGGCAGCAGUGAGGAAUCUUCGUCAAUGGGCGUAAGCCUGAACCAGCCAAGUCGCGUGAGGGAUGAAGGUUCUAUGGAUCGUAAACCUCUUUUAUAAAGGAAUAAAGUGCGGGACGUGUCCCUUUUUGUAUGUACCUUAUGAAUAAGGAUCGGCUAACUCCGUGCCAGCAGCCGCGGUAAGACGGAGGAUCCGAGCGUUAUCCGGAUUUAUUGGGUUUAAAGGGUGCGUAGGCGGCCUUUUAAGUCAGUGGUGAAGGCCUGUGGCUCAACCUUAGAAUUGCAGUUGAAACUGGGAGGCUUGAGUAUGUUUGAGGCAGGCGGAAUGCGUGGUGUAGCGGUGAAAUGCUUAGAUAUCACGCAGAACCCCGAUUGCGAAGGCAGCCUGCCAAGCCAUGACUGACGCUGAUGCACGAAAGCGUGGGGAUCAAACAGGAUUAGAUACCCGGGUAGUC